AUGGAUUCACUGGCUCUGGCUUGCCGCACCGCGGCCCUCGUCAUUCUAUUCCUUCCUUUGAGUGCUUCCGACGACCGGCUGGUCCCUGGCAAGCCACUGGCCCUCGGCAAGACCAUCAUCUCUGAUGGCGGAGCGUUCGCCUUGGGCUUCUUCAACCCCUCCAACUCCACUCCAGCCAAACUGUACCUUGGCAUAUGGUACAACAAUAUCCCUGAGCUCACAGUUGUGUGGGUUGCCAACCGUGAAACCCCAGUCUCCAAUAACACUUCCUCUGCACCGAUGCUCUCCCUCACCAACACUUCCAAUCUCAUUAUAUCUGAAGGUAAUAGUGGUGGCCGUGUCCUUUGGACAACAGCUAACAUGACCACUAUGAUUGGCUCAUCUACCCCAACAGCGGUGCUUAUGAACACCGGCAACCUUGUCAUCCGGUCGUCUAACGGUACCAUGCUGUGGCAGAGUUUUGACAACCCCACGGACACACUCCUCCCCGGGAUGAAGAUCCGGAUCAAAUACAGGGUGCGCGGCACUGGCGAUCGUCUGGUAUCUUGGAAGGGCCCCAGUGACCCCUCGCCUGGUCGCUUCUCCUGUGGCGGCAACCCAGACACGCCCCUCCAAACAUACAUCUGGGACAAGGAGAGCUUGGUGUCCCGCGGUAUCCCAUGGACGGGGUACCAAGUGGAGAGCGUACGCCAACAACAGCUAGCAGGGGGCAUGAACGUCAGUGAUCUUAUCAUAUACGUAGCCUACGUAGACAAGGACGGUGAGAUAUACGCCACAUAUAGCCUCUCUGAUGGCGCCGCGGUCACAAGGUCUGUGCUGACCUACUCCGGCGAGUAUCUCAUGCAGAGCUGGAGCAGCAGCUCAUCGGCAUGGGUUGUUCUUUUGAAGUGGUCAUCCGCUGGAUGCAAUGGCUAUGCUUACUGUGGCCCCUAUGGCUACUGCGACGUGACAACAGCGCCAGUCCCAACGUGUAAUUGCCUACACGGCUUUGAGCCAGCAAACAAGUUGGAGUGGACCAGUGGCAGGUUCUUGGCUGGGUGCCUGCGGAAGGAGCAACUGCACAGGUGUGGCGGUAGCUUCUUGGCCUUGCCGGGGAUGAAGUCACCAGACAAGUUCGAACUCAUCGGAGGGGGAAUUAGUACAUCCGAGGAGUGCGCCGCGGAGUGCAUCCGCAACUGCUCCUGUGUGGGGUACAUGUACCGCAACAUGAGUGGCAGCAGUUUAGGAGGUGACAUGGCAUGCAUGGUAUGGGCUGGGGAGUUGGUUGACACCGGAAAGGUUGGCGUAGGUGGCGAGACAAUCUAUCUCCGACUUGCAGCAGUUAUGUAUGGUGCAGGUAAAAGGAGAAAGAUCAAUGCAAUCAGGUUUGUGCUGUCAGUUUUAGGCGGUGCUGUUCUCAUAUUCAUAUGCUUCUCUUUUGCAUGGUUAAAAUGCCAAGCAGGAAAGAAUAAAAAAUGGAGAAAGUACAAGAUUAUAAGAUUGGUUUGCAUGAGUACAACUCAUGAAAUCGGGGAAGAAAAUCCUCCUCAUGAUCAAGAAUUUCCAUCUGUAAGAUUAGAAGAAAUUGCCCUCGCAACACACAAUUUCUCUGAAGCAUGCAUGAUUGGACAAGGAGGAUUUGGAAAAGUUUACAAGGGACUGUUAGGUGGUCAGGAAGUCGCAGUCAAGAGGCUAAGUAGAGAUUCUCAACAAGGAACAAAAGAAUUCAGGAAUGAAGUAGUUCUAAUUGCAAAACUGCAACACAGAAGUUUGGUCCGACUUCUUGGAUGUUGUGAUGAGGGAAAUGAAAAGCUCUUGAUAUAUGAGUAUCUACCUAACAAGAGCUUAGAAUCUAGCCUUUUUGAUGACUCAAGAAAAUUGUCGCUGGAUUGGGCGACACGGUUUAAUAUCAUCAAAGGGGUGGCCAGGGGGCUUCUAUAUCUUCACAAAGACUCAAGGAUAACCAUAAUUCAUAGGGACCUCAAAGUUGGAAAUAUUUUGUUGGAUGUAGAUAUGAAACCCAAGAUAGCAGAUUUCGGUAUGGCGAGAAUUUUUGGUGAUAACCAGCAAAAUGCAAAUACCCAGCGUGUAGUUGGCACAUAUGGUUACAUGGCUCCUGAGUAUGCAAUGGAAGGCUUCUUCUCUACCAAGUCUGAUGUCUAUAGCUUCGGCGUGUUACUGUUGGAGGUUGUAACUGGUAUAAGGAGAAACUCCAUUAGUCAAAUGAUGGGAUACCCCAGCCUCACAGUCUAUUCAUGGAAUAUGUGGAAGGAAGAGAAUACCGACGAACUGCCAGACUCAUCCAUCAUAGAUACUUCACCAGACGAAGUUUUGCUUUGCGUCCAUGUAGCACUCCUAUGCGUCCAAGAGAACCCAGAUGAUAGGCCAUGCAUGUCAUCUGUUGUGUUCGUCCUAGAGAAUGGAAGUACCACACUUACAACCCCCAACCGCCCUGCCUACUUUGUGCGAAGAAGUGCUGAACUGGAUCAAAUAAGAAAUAUUCAGACUUCUGUCAACAGUUUCACUCUUACCGAGAUAGAGGGGCGAUGA
rnacentral:rRNA from 1 species